GACGAACGCUGGCGGCGUGCUUAACACAUGCAAGUCGAACGGAAAGGCCCUGCUUUUGUGGGGUGCUCGAGUGGCGAACGGGUGAGUAACACGUGAGUAACCUGCCCUUGACUUUGGGAUAACUUCAGGAAACUGGGGCUCAUACCGGAUAGGAGCUCCUGCUGCAUGGUGGGGGUUGGAAAGUUUCGGCGGUUGGGGCUGGACUCGCGGCUUAUCAGCUUGUUGGUGGGGUAGUGGCUUACCAAGGCUUUGACGGGUAGCCGGCCUGAGAGGGGGACCGGCCACAUGGGGACUGAGAUACGGCCCAGACGGCAACGGGAGGCAGCAGUGGGGAAUAUUGCACAAUGGGCGGAAGCCUGAUGCAGCAACGCCGCGUGCGGGAUGACGGCCUUCGGGUUGUAAACCGCUUUCGCCUGUGACGAAGCGGGAGUGACGGUAAUGGGUAAAGAAGCACCGGCUAACUACGUG
rnacentral:rRNA from 1 species